rnacentral:rRNA from 1 species
AUUGCCCUAGUAACGGGCGAGUGAAGCGGCAACAGCUCAAAUUUGAAAUCUGGCUUCGGCCCGAGUUGUAAUUUGCAGAGGAUGUUUCUGGCGCGGUGCCUUCCGAGUUCCCUGGAACGGGACGCCACAGAGGGUGAGAGCCCCGUAUGGUCGGACACCAAGCCUGUGUGAAACUCCUUCAACGAGUCGAGUAGUUUGGGAAUGCUGCUCUAAAUGGGAGGUAAAUCUCUUCUAAAGCUAAAUACCGGCCAGAGACCGAUAGCGCACAAGUAGAGUGAUCGAAAGAUGAAAAGCACCUUGAAAAGGGGGUUAAAUAGUACGUGAAAUUGUUGAAAGGGAAGCACUUAUGACCAGACUUGGGCCGGGCGGCUCAUCAGGGGUUCUCCCCUGUGCACUCCGCCCGGCACAGGCCAGCAUCGGUUUUCGCGGGGGGAUAAGACCGACGGGAACGUAGCACCCUCCGGGGUGUGUUAUAGCCCGGCGGACGAUACCCUCGCGGGGACCGAGGUCCGCGCUCCGCAAGGAUGCUGGCGUAAUGGUCAUCAGUGACCCGUCUUGAAACACGGACCAAGGAGUCGUCCAUUAGAGCGAGCGUUUGGGUGUAAAACCCGCACGCGUAAUGAAAGUGAACGCAGGUGAGAGCUUCGGCGCAUCAUCGACCGAUCCUGAUGUUCUCGGAAGGAUUUGAGUAAGAGUUUUAACGGACGGACCCGAAAGACAGUGAACUAUGCUUGUAUAGGGUGAAGCCAGAGGAAACUCUGGUGGAGGCUCGCAGCGGUUCUGACGUGCAAAUCGAUCGUCAAAUAUGAGCAUGGGGGCGAAAGACUAAUCGAACUGUCUAGUAGCUGGUUACCGCCGAAGUUUCCCUCAGGAUAGCAGUGUUGAUCUUCAGUUUUAUGAGGUAAAGCGAAUGAUUAGGGACUCGGGGGCGCUAUAUUGCCUUCAUCCAUUCUCAACUUUAAUAUG